UGAGGAGGAAGCUCAGUGGUAGAGCACUUGCCAGCAUGUAUGAGGUCCUGGGUUCAAUCUCUAGCACCAUAA
rnacentral:tRNA from 1 species